rnacentral:lncRNA from 1 species
CCUCAAUCAUUUCUAGUUAUUGAUAUCAUAUCAGUUAUAGCCAAAAUAUGAAAAGCCAGUAAGAUUAAACAGUAUCUUAAGAGAAACUGAGAUUUAAAAAAAUUAAUUAGGAGGCAGACAACAUAAGUAGCAUAUACUAUUUAAAUCAAUAAAAAUCUGCUUUCAUCAACCCAGAUACAGGUAAAAGUGACAGAGUGGCUAAGAAUCUCUUCAACAAAGCCUCUUCCAGAAGGAGACUGUGGUAUCUAAGAAAAAAAAAAGUCUGGAUCAUCUAUGCACUCAAACAAGAUUCAACUGGAACCGGACUUCCUGUCAAGUUAGCAAAAAUCAUCUAUUGUAAACAGUGUCGACAAAUGUCAGUUCUAAUUCCACCGUAGAGAUUUUCCCCUAGGUCAAUGAAAGGAAAGAGAAUAAACUGGGAGCCAGCUGUGAAUUCCUGAUUGUUUUACUGUUGACUGAUUUAGGUCACUCUAAUGAGGUUUCCUUUCCACCAUUAAAGUUCAUCUUAUGGCAGCUGUCACUCCAAAGUUUCAUGGGGAAAUGUAAAGGAAAAAACAAACAACAAGAAAAAAAUACAAAUACAACCAUAAAAACUUCCAUUAUUAAAAAAAUUAUAACUCGCCA